rnacentral:rRNA from 1 species
NNAAGGGUUCCAGAGUCAAGCUAAUCUGCUCUGGGUAAGUCGGGCCCUAAGGCGAGGCCGACAGGCGUAGUCGAUGGACAACGGGUUGAUAUUCCCGUACCGGUUUUGUUGCGCCAAUAUUGAACCCAAUAAUGCUAAGUGUUUGAACCUGGGAGCAAUCUCAGCGGAUGGCACGACCCAGUUUGGUAGUAGAUAAGCAAAGGAGUGACGCAGGAAGGUAGCCCAUCCCGGGCGAUGGUUGUCCCGGGGUAAGGAUGUAGGUGGGUGUGUAGGCAAAUCCGCACACUAAUACUGAGAUCUGACGCCGAGGCGUAAGCCGAAGUGGGUAAUCCUAUGCUGCCGAGAAAAGCUUCUAGCAAGUGACAAAUCCGCCCGUACCCGAAACCGACACAGGUGGUCAGGUAGAGAAUACUAAGGCGAUCGAGCAAACCGUAGUUAAGGAACUCGGCAAAAUGCCCCCGUAACUUCGGGAGAAGGGGGGCCUUGAAUUGUGUAGGGAUUUACUCCCGAAGCAGUUCAUGGCCGCAGAAACAAGGCCCAAGCGACUGUUUAACAAAAACACAGGUCCGUGCGAAGUAGUAACACGAUGUAUACGGACUGACGCCUGCCCGGUGCUGGAAGGUCAAGGGGACGGGUUAAGGAGUAAUCCUGAAGCUCAGAACUUAAGCCCCAGUAAACGGCGGUGGUAACUAUAACCAUCCUAAGGUAGCGAAAUUCCUUGUCGGGUAAGUUCCGACCUGCACGAAUGGCGUAACGACUUGGGCGCUGUCUCAACUAUGGACUCGGCGAAAUUGCAGUACGAGUAAAGAUGCUCGUUACGCGUGGAAGGACGGAAAGACCCCGGGACCUUUACUAUAACUUGGUAUUGGCGGUCGAUUCGGAUUGUGUAGCAUAGGUGGGAGACUUUGAAGCAGGGACGCCAGUUCUUGUGGAGUCGAAAAUUGAAAUACCACUCUGUUCGUAUUGGCUGUCUAACCUCGAUCCAUAAUCUGGAUUAGGGACAGUGCCUGGCGGGUAGUUUAACUGGGGCGGUUGCCUCCCAAAAAGUAACGGAGGCGCUCAAAGGUUCCCUCAGCCUGGUUGGUAAUCAGGUGUUGAGUGUAAGUGCACAAGGGAGCUUGACUGCGAGACCGACGGGUCGAGCAGGGACGAAAGUCGGAACUAGUGAUCCGGCACCGGCAAGUGGAAGCGGUGUCGCUCAACGGAUAAAAGGUACCCCGGGGAUAACAGGCUGAUCUUCCCCAAGAGUCCACAUCGACGGGAUGGUUUGGCACCUCGAUGUCGGCUCGUCGCAUCCUGGGGCUGGAGUAGGUCCCAAGGGUUGGGCUGUUCGCCCAUUAAAGCGGUACGCGAGCUGGGUUCAGAACGUCGUGAGACAGUUCGGUCCCUAUCCUCCACGCGCGAAAGAGUUUUGAGAGGACCUGUCUCUAGUACGAGAGGACCGAGAUGGACGAACCUCUGGUGUGCCAGUUGUCCUGCCAAGGGCAUGGCUGGUUGGCCACGUUCGGACGAGAUAACCGCUGAAAGCAUCUAAGCGGGAAGCUCACCUCAAGAUGAGAACUCUCACAGGGUUAACCUGGUAAGACCCCCAGAAGAUGACUGGGUUGAUAGGCCGGAUGUGGAAGCGCAGCAAUGCGUGGAGCUGACCGGUACUAAUAGGUCGAGGGCUUGUUU